UACGGGGGGGGCAAGCGUUGUUCGGAAUUACUGGGCGUAAAGGGCUCGUAGGUGGCCAACUAAGUCAGACGUGAAAUCCCCAGGCUCAACUUGGGAACUGCGUCUGAUACUGGAUGGCUUGAAUUCGGGAGAGGGAUGCAGAAUUCCAGGUGUAGCGGCGAAAUGCGUAGAUAUCUGGAGGAAUACCGGUGGCGAAGGCGGCAUCCUGGACCGAGAUUGACACUGAUGAGCGAAAGCUAGGGGAGCAAACGGG
rnacentral:rRNA from 1 species